UACGUAGGGUGCGAGCGUUACUCGGAAUUACUGGGCGUAAAGCGUGCGCAGGCGGCUUCGCAAGUCAGACGUGAAAUCCCCGGGCUUAACCUGGGAAUGGCGUUUGAAACUACGGAGCUGGAGUGUGGCAGAGGGAGGUAGAAUUCCACGUGUAGCGGUGAAAUGCGUAGAUAUGGGGAGGAACACCGGUGGCGAAGGCGGCCAUCUGGACGGAUACUGACGCUGAGACGCGAAAGCGUGGGUAGCAAACAGG
rnacentral:rRNA from 1 species